GAUGAACGCUGGCGGCGUGCCUAAUACAUGCAAGUCGAGCGAACAGAUAAGGAGCUUGCUCCUUUGAAGUUAGCGGCGGACGGGUGAGUAACACGUGGGUAACCUACCUAUAAGACUGGGAUAACUUCGGGAAACCGGAGCUAAUACCGGAUAACAUUUAGAACCGCAUGGUUCUAAAGUGAAAGAUGGUUUUGCUAUCACUUAUAGAUGGACCCGCGCCGUAUUAGCUAAUUGGUAAGGUAACGGCUUACCAAGGCGACGAUACGUAGCCGACCUGAGAGGGUGAUCGGCCACACUGGAACUGAGACACGGUCCAGACUCCUACGGGAGGCAGCAGUAGGGAAUCUUCCGCAAUGGGCGAAAGCCUGACGGAGCAACGCCGCGUGAGUGAUGAAGGGUUUCGGCUCGUAAAACUCUGUUAUUAGGGAAGAACAAAUGUGUAAGUAACUGUGCACAUCUUGACGGUACCUAAUCAGAAAGCCACGGCUAACUACGUG
rnacentral:rRNA from 1 species